CCUACGGGAGGCAGCAGUGGGGAAUAUUGCACAAUGGGGGAAACCCUGAUGCAGCAACGCCGCGUGAGCGAUGAAGGCUUUCGGGUCGUAAAGCUCUGUCGAGUGGGAAGAAAAACCAGAUACCAAUACUAUCUGGGACUGACGGUACCACUGAAGGAAGCACCGGCUAACUCCGUGCCAGCAGCCGCGGUAAUACGGGGGGUGCAAGCGUUAUUCGGAAUCAUUGGGCGUAAAGAGCGCGUAGGCGGCCCUAUAAGUCAGAUGUGAAAGCCCGGGGCUUAACCCCGGAAGUGCAUUUGAAACUAUUGGGCUUGAGUAUGGGAGAGGGAAGUGGAAUUCCUGGUGUAGAGGUGAAAUUCGUAGAUAUCAGGAGGAACACCGGUGGCGAAGGCGACUUCCUGGACCAAUACUGACGCUGAGGCGCGAAGGCGUGGGGAGCAAACAGGAUUAGAUACCCGGGUAGUC
rnacentral:rRNA from 1 species